rfam:Ixodes scapularis strain Wikel colony gcontig_1108379395826, whole genome shotgun sequence.
CAAACGGCCUUUCUGAAGGCCAAUGCAUAUUUGCAUUGAAGAUGCCG